AUUGAACGCUGGCGGCAUGCCUUACACAUGCAAGUCGAACGGUAACAGGUCUUCGGAUGCUGACGAGUGGCGAACGGGUGAGUAAUACAUCGGAACGUGCCCGAGAGUGGGGGAUAGCGAAGCGAAAGCUUUGCUAAUACCGCAUACGAUCUCAGGAUGAAAGCAGGGGACCGCAAGGCCUUGCGCUCACGGAGCGGCCGAUGGCCGAUUAGGUAGUGGGUGGGAUAAAAGCUUACCAAGCCGACGAUCUGUAGCUGGUCUGAGAGGACGACCAGCCACACUGGGACUGAGACACGGCCCAGACUCCUACGGGAGGCAGCAGUGGGGAAUUUUGGGCAAUGGGCGCAAGCCUGAUCCAGCCAUGCCGCGUGCAGGAUGAAGGCCUUCGGGUUGUAAACUGCUUUUGUACGGAACGAAAAGACUCCUUCUAAUAAAGGGGGUCCAUGACGGUACCGUAAGAAUAAGCACCGGCUAACUACGUGCCAGCAGCCGCGGUAACAC
rnacentral:rRNA from 1 species